rnacentral:lncRNA from 1 species
GGACUGUAUACCCUCAUGGCAGAGGCUGAUGGUUGCUACCUCUACAUUCAUUCUUCUCUUUUUUCCUCAGUAAUGAAACUGGUUUUUAUCAGGGCACAUGACUACCUAGAAUAAAGACCACCUUUCCCACAUUCUCCUUUGGAGUCUGGUGUCUCCAUGAUUACAUUCUGGUCAAUGAGGUAUUAGAGUGCUGUGUGGCAACUUCUGAGAAAUCUUCUUAAAAGCAAAUGAUGUAAGAGUUUGGCCUCCUCCUUUGUCACUUCUUUGUCCACUCCAGAUGUGUGGCUAGGGCUCCAGCUACCAUCUUGGAAACUGGAGGACCACAACAGAGGGAUGUUGCAGCAGAGAGCUGAGAGGAGCCGGUGCUGUGGAGCUAUUCCUGCCCUGAGCCAUCUAAACUGGGGGUUCUUUUAAGUGGGAGAGAAAUGAGCUUUAUCUUGCUUAAGCCACUAUUUAAUUUAAAUUUAGGCCAGGCGUGGUGGCUCACACCUGUAAUCCCAGCACUUUGGGAGGCUGAGGCAAGGUGGAUCACCUGAGGUCAGAAGUUUAAAGACCAGCCUGGCCAACAUGGUGAAACCCCAUCUCUGCUAAAAAUACAAAAAUUAGCCAGGCAUGGUGGCAGGCACCUGUAAUCCCAGCUACUUGAGAGGCUGAGGCAGGAGAAUCACUUGAACCUAGGAGGCAGAGGUUGCAGUGAGUUGAGAUCAUGCCACUGCACUCCAGCCUGGGCAACAGAACGAGACUUUGCCAAAAAAAAGAAAAAAAAAUUAACGAAACCAGGGUAUUUUGAGGGUGAGAGGAAAUGGAGAAACUCUUUUACAUCUUACCUAAUUCUCAAUUCUUAUCAACUAAAUCAGCCCCACCAACAAAGUUAUUUUCCUCACUGUAUACAUCCAAUCCAAUGGAUAACACCUUAUUGAGUCAACAUUCCUGAUAUUCCCAAUAUGAAAACAAAGAUAAUACAAUAGUUUCACUGAUCUCUGCUUCUAGUUUAUCUUCUUUACUGCAGCAAGAAGAAUUUCUGUUUCACCCCAGCUUAUAUGUCACUCUCCUGCAUUAAACCUUCAAUGGUUUCCUGUUGCCUGGAUCAGUGGCUCUCAGAUUUAUACAGGAACUUAAUGUGGUGAUAGUUGCAUAAGUGUGAUUAUACUAAAAAUCAUUGAAUUGUACGUUUAAAAUAGGUGAAUUGUAUUAUAUGUGUAAAGUUACUUUUUUAAAAUGUAUAGGGGGAGCUGGACAUGAUGGCUCAUAUCUGUAAUCCCAGCACUUUGGGAGGCUGAGGCUGGAGGAUUGCUUAAGCUCAGGAGUUCACGACCAGCUUGGGCAACAUAGUGAGACUUCAUCUCUACAAAAAAAUAAAAAAAUUAGCUGGGUGCAGCGGUGUGUGCCUAUAGUUCCAGCUACUCCAGAAGCUGAGGUGGGAGGAUGGCUUGAGUCUGGGAGGUCAAGACUGCAGUGAGUUGAGAUUGCGUCACUGCACUCCAGCCUGGGUGGCGGCGGGACACCAUGUCUCAACAACAACAAAAAAGAUGUACAGGUGCCAGGUGUGGUGGCUCACACGUGUAAUCUCAGUGCUUUGCGAAGCUGAGACCAGGAGUUUGAGACCCAGCCUGGGCAACAUAGCCUGGGUAACAAAAAGACCUUGUCUCUAAAAAAAAAAAAAAAAAAGAAAAAAAAAGCUGAGUCUGAUGGUGUAUACCUAUAGUCCCAGCUACUAGAGAGGCUGAGGUGUGAGGAUCUCUUGAGCCCACGACUUUGAAGUUACGGUGAGCUAUGAUGGCAACACGGCAGUCUAGCCUGGGUUACCAAGUGAGACCCUGCCUCAAAAAACCCAAAAAUGUAUAGAGGAAUCAAGGCAUCUGGAAUUCACAGCAUGCUAUGUGUAACACACUGAAAUGUUGAACUAUAAGCAAUUUUACUAUCAUAAAAUAAGACUACAGUAUAUAUACUUAAUAUUUACAGUACAUUUAUUACACUAAAAUUCACUACUUUAUGACUACAACAAAAAGUGUUGAGCAUCCAUCACUGAAGCGAGAGUGGCCAAAGUGAAAUUCAGUGCUUUCGUGACUUCUAACUGAAGCAAGAACUGCAAAAGGCAUUUCAAUGCACUUUCCUACAUUUGCAAGAAGAUUAUGUCUUCCCCUCUUUCCAAAGAGCUAAGAC